GGUUCGUUGGUCUAGGGUUAUGAUUCUCGCUUAGGAUGCGAAGAGAUCCCGAGUUCAAACCCCGGACGAGCCC